rnacentral:rRNA from 1 species
UACGUAGGUGGCAAGCGUUGUCCGGAUUUAUUGGGUUUAAAGGGUGCGUAGGCGGCCCCGUAAGUCAGUGCUGAAAUAUCCCGGCUUAACCGGGAGGGUGGCAUUGAUACUGCAGGGCUUGAGUAAAGUUGAGGUAGGCGGAAUUGACGGUGUAGCGGUGAAAUGCUUAGAUAUCGUCAAGAACACCGAUAGUGUAGACAGCUUACUAGCU